rnacentral:rRNA from 1 species
UAACAAGGAUUCCCCUAGUAACGGCGAGUGAAGCGGGAUGAGCUCAAAUUUAAAAUCUGGCGGCCUCAGGUCGUCCGAGUUGUAGUCUAGAGAAUCGUUUUCCGCGUUGGCCUGUGUACAAGUCCCUUGGAACAGGGCGUCAUAGAGGGUGAGAAUCCCGUCCUUGACACAGACUACCAAUGCUUUGUGAUGCGAUCUCGAAGAGUCGAGUUGUUUGGGAAUGCAGCUCAAAAUGGGUGGUAAAUUCCAUCUAAAGCUAAAUAUUGGCGAGAGACCGAUAGCGAACAAGUACCGUGAGGGAAAGAUGAAAAGCACUUUGGAAAGAGAGUUAAACAGUACGUGAAAUUGUUAAAAGGGAAACGAUUGAAGUCAGUCAUGCUUUCCGAGACUCAGCCGAUUCUGUCGGUGUACUUCUCGGUUGGCAGGCCAGCAUCAGUUUCGAUCUGUGGAAAAGGUUGGAGGGAACGUGGCAUCCUCGGAUGUGUUAUAGCCCUUCUUCGAAUACAUAGAGCGGGACUGAGGAACGCAGCGCGCCUUUUAUUAGGUUGGCCCUCGGGUACAUACGCGCUUAGGAUGCUGGCAUAAUGGC